rnacentral:antisense_RNA from 1 species
UGUUAUGGGCGGGCCGUGUGGGAGGCGCUUGCGCCUGCCGGUGCCUACGACCGGUCUGUCAACCCGCACGGUUCGCUCUCCACU